rnacentral:rRNA from 1 species
AACGAACGCUGGCGGCGUGCCUAACACAUGCAAGUCGAACGGGAAAACCCGCAAGGGUGAGUACAGUGACGCACGGGUGCGUAACACGUGGGUAAUCUGCCCAGAAGCCCGGAAUAACUCCCCGAAAGGGGUGCUAAUGCCGGAUGAGACCACGGGGACCUCGGUUCCUGGGGGAAAAGGUGGCCUCUGUAUACAAGCUAUCACUUCUGGAGGAGCCCGCGGCCCAUCAGCUAGUUGGCGGGGUAAUGGCCCACCAAGGCUACGACGGGUAGCUGGUCUGAGAGGACGAUCAGCCACACUGGAACUGAGACACGGUCCAGACUCCUACGGGAGGCAGCAGUGGGGAAUCUUGCGCAAUGGGCGAAAGCCUGACGCAGCAACGCCGCGUGUGUGAUGAAGGUCUUCGGAUCGUAAAGCACUGUCGGGAGGGACGAAUAAGGGCCGGGUGAACAAUCCGGUCCGACGACGGUACCUCCAGAGGAAGCACCGGCUAACUCUGUGCCAGCCGCCGCCGUAAUAC